UGGGGAAUAUUGGACAAUGGGGGGAACCCUGAUCCAGCCAUGCCGCGUGUGUGAAGAAGGCCUUAUGGUUGUAAAGCACUUUAAGCGAGGAGGAGGGUACUGGUAUUAAUACUACCAGGUACUGGACGUUACUCGCAGAAUAAGCACCGGCUAACUCUGUGCCAGCAGCCGCGGUAAUACAGAGGGUGCGAGCGUUAAUCGGAUUUACUGGGCGUAAAGCGUGCGUAGGCGGCUAAUUGAGUCGGAUGUGAAAUCCCCGAGCUUAACUUGGGAAUUGCAUUCGAUACUGGUUAGCUAGAGUGUGGGAGAGGAUGGUAGAAUUCCAGGUGUAGCGGUGAAAUGCGUAGAGAUCUGGAAGAAUACCGAUGGCGAAGGCAGCCAUCUGGCCUAACACUGACGCUGAGGUACGAAAGCAUGGAGAGCAAACAGG
rnacentral:rRNA from 1 species